rnacentral:rRNA from 1 species
UACGUAGGGGGCGAGCGUUGUCCGGAUUUAUUGGGCGUAAAGAGCUCGUAGGCGGUUUGGCAAGUCGGAUGUGAAAACUCCAGGCUCAACCUGGAGACGCCACUCGAGACUGCCAUGACUAGAGUCCGGUAGGGGACCACGGAAUUCCUGGGUGUAGCGGUGAAAUGCGCAGAUAUCAGGAGGAACACCGGUGGCGAAGGCGGGUCUCUGGGCCGUAACUGAUGCUGAGGAGCGAAAGCGUGGGGAGCGAACAGG